ACUAAAUUGCCAUCCACCGCCAUCGCCGACUCCCCUUCUCGAGCCGCCGCCGCUGCCGCUGCCGUCGCCGCCGCUGCCGCUGCCGUCGCCGCCGGAGUGCGGCGUGCCCAUGCCUCCCCUACCUCUCUCUAGUCAACGCAGCUCCCCCUCCGGUUCCUCCCCUAGCUCGGUCCUCUUCCACCCCAGCCUAGGGUACUUCCAAUCUUCCUCCGCCGACCAUCGGCGCCUACUCCGCCGAGGAGCAUGGCCGUCUACCGCCGCGUCGUCCACCUACGCCGCCUUCCCCAGUUCCAGCCCCCAGCCGCACUUCCAUACUCUACUUCCGCAGCAACUCCACACCUCUCCCCACCGACGUGCCCGCUGCUGACGCCGUCGCAUCCCUUCGCCUCCUCCUCCUCAACCCACCGCGUCGAGCCGCCGGUCCGCCUCCUCCCCUCCGGUUCGGCAGGUGAUGGUUUCUUCAGUCGUAGGUGUGGUCUCAAACUGUAUCCAAGGAUAGGUGUUGUAUUAGUUGGACAAGCAGCUAUUUUUCUUGGUCUAUGCAAUGACUCUGCAUUGGCUCAAGAUGAUUCAGUUGGUCAAGGGGCUACAAGAAAUGAGCAAACUGAGGAAAGUGCUACAGGUCUACAGCGAUUUGAAGAUGGCUCAGUGAUCUCAAAUGUACACACUGUCAAAUGGAGAAUCUUCACUGAUAAUGCACGGGAUUUUUUACUGAAAAGAAACCUAGAUGAAGCUGAGAAGUUUUUCCAGGCAGCCCUACAUGAAGCCAAGGAAGGAUUUGGACUAAGAGAUCCACAUGUUGCAUCAGCCCUUAACAAUCUAGCAGAAUUUUAUAGGUUAAAAAAACAGUAUGAGAAGGCUGAGUUACUGUAUCUGGAAGCAAUUGAAAUCCUGGAAGAAUCAUUUGGAUCGGAUGAUAUAAGGGUUGGAACUGCUUUGCAUAGCCUUGGGAUAUGCUACCAUCUUCAACGCAAGUUUGCUCAAGCUCAGACUUGUCACGAGUGUGCUUUGAAGGGGAAAAAGUUGCUUCAAGGCUGUUCAGCAGGCAAGAGAGCAUUCACCCUCCUCCUGCCUUUGGUUCAUCUACAAAAUCUGGACGCCCUUGCUGUUAAGGCUACCUUUUCCCAGGGGCAAGAUCAUGAUAGCACCUCAGAUAAUGUUAAUUACAGGUUACUGAUUGUUGUUGAAAAUUAUGAUCUACCAAACCCUGAAAAUACUGUUAAUUUUCAGAUCCAGAAGCUGCACAAUCUGCCAAAGGGCAACAGUUAAGAUUUCGUGGUUUUCUCAAAAACCUUCACAGCAGCUGAAAAAAUCUUAAAUGCUCGAACUCUCAAGGAGUGGACCGUUUCUUCCCUUGGAUCUGAGGCUGCUGCGAAACAUAUGAUUGCUGUCAGUACUAACCUUGAGAUUCCUAAGCGGGCGAAGAUAUCAGGGAGCUGACGCCGAAUGGUGUGGAAUCCAUUUGUUCCAUGGAAGCACCGCAUGUUCUUGCAACAUGAUCUAUAGUGGGAGUUGUUUCUUCUCUGAACGAGGGGAGGUUAGUAUGUUUUUUAUAGCUUAAUUAUCGAAUGGGGAGCUGCAUAAUCCAAACAUGGAUACUAAAAUAGUAUUGUCACUUUAAGGCAGUUGACGUGGUGGUUUGUACAGUGUUAUCUGAUCGUCUGAUUAAUUGCGAUUAAUCGGGCUGAUCGGUCCCCUGACCUCGAUUAGGCCAUUCGAAACGAUCAGACCAAUCAGAAACCUGAUCGUCCGAUUAGCUGACGAUUAGGUCCGAUUAAUCGAGCGAUCAGAAGGGGUGGCGAUCACCAAUCAGCAUGUGACUUUGAAGUUUUGAGUUGGGCUGGGCAAUCUUUAGUCUCGUCGAAUUUUAGUAUGGAGUAUGGGACUAGAAUUGUCUCUUAGAAAUAUAUGGAGUAUAGGACUAGAAUCUGGAGUUAUGGGCACCUCAAACAACAAAGCUGAAAGGUAAUUACUAUCGAACUGUCAAAUAAUUCCUCUAUUAUUGUAUUUUAUAUUGCACACAAGUACACUGCAAACCUAAUGUUGCUAUUACCAGGGAAUGCCAUGGCGAUCAGGUUCGAUCAGCCGAUCAGACAAUAUUGGGUUUGUACUUUAAUAGGCAGCUGCUUAGUACAAACCUAAUGUUUCCUUCUAUUUCUUACCAGGGAAUGCAAAUCAGCAACCACUUGAUCUUUCUGGUAUGAUUUCAUCUAUGUUUAUUUUUUGCUUAUUUGCUACUCCGCCACCUUUUCAGUGAAACCAAACCUGGUCUGAUCGACGAUUAAUCGGUCUGAUCGACCUGAUCGGUGCCAUGGCGAUCAGGUUCAAUCAGCCGAUCAGACAACAUUGGGUUUGUACUUUAAUAGGCAGCUGCUUAGUACAAACCUAAUGGUUCCUUCUAUUUCUUACCAGGGAAUGCAAAUCAGCAACCACUUGAUCUUUCUGGUAUGAUUUCAUCUAUGUUUAUUUUUUGCUUAUUUGCUACUCCGCCACCUUUUCAGUGAAAUCAAACCUGGGAAACAUGCUUCUUUUUUGGAGCAUGAAACAAGAUGCCUUUGUAGAUCCUUUAAGUUUGCAUGGGGGUUGCCCUGUUAUUAAAGGAAACAAAUGGUCAUCAACCAACUGGAUGCAUGUCCAUGGGUACAAAGCUUCAGCCUUUUGAAGCAUCAUUACCAGAGGUAUCCACUGUUCGUAUGGAUUUGUGCUGAGUAAGAUGUUAAAAUUGGCGAUAUCACUGCCUAUUGUUCUUUUAGUUGUUUUGGUCCUCUUCAGAGUCACUUGCACUUAUUUGUCGUACCAAAUCAAACUCCCGAAGUAAUAUGGCUUUUACGUUAUUUACCACCCAGCUCUGCAUUUUUCUCUUUACGGCAUGCAUUCAAACAGUGUUAAAUCAUGCAUAUGCAUUCAGUUUUGACAUUUCUUACUCUAUUUCCUUUUAUUAUUUUUUGAUUCUAUAAUUUGCUAUUACCACUUCCAUAUAUAUUCAGUUUUCAGAAUUGUAGAUGUUGAAUACGUCUAUAGUUCCAUGCUUUCUCAUUUGUCAGGCUCAUAUUUAGGUUGACUGUAAAUAGAGUAAAUUUUCCAAAACUGUUAUUUUCCUUUAUAUUAUUUACUGUGAAGUUUAAAGUCAACAACAAGAUUAUUCAUUACAGGAUGAGUUCACACCUUCGCCUUUGCUGUUUCACCUUUAGCACCGUAUUUGGUUGGUUGUCCUCAAUUCACUGCUCUAUAUUCUGGGUUUGCGAAUGGCUUACUUCGUUAUACGUUUUCGUUCAUUGUUUGUUCGACGAGCAGACUUCGGCACACAUUUCGCAAUUGUUUUCAUGUUUUCCCCUCUUUGUUCUACUGUGGCAAAGGUACUAUGGUAUGAGACAAUUCAAAAUGAGCGCUUUUACUUGCGGUUUCAGUUUAAUCGGCACUGCAAGCUGUCACUUUUUAAAUUUGUUUAGCUUAAUCGCUUUCUUGUGCUGCACUUUACCCACCAUCUCCACAGUUAGUACUUCGCUCUAUCAGCAACACUAACCUCACUGGUGUUCACUAUAUCAACCAAAUCUUUUGUGAAAUUACAAAGAUAUAUUACUCUUUUGUCUAUUGAUGUAUCUGUGCAAGGCAACUGAUGAAUUUUGCAGGCGAAUUGUGCUAAUCUCGGGCCUCUAAAUGUUUUGGUAAGGUGCAUAUGAGAAUGAGCAUGGUUAUAGUAAUUUAGACUAUUGCACAACUAUAUGCUUCUUCCUACUGGUUUUAUCUGUUUCAUAGAUCUGGUAAUUUAGGGUGCUUGGUCGAUCAACAUCUGCUCACGUAACUCAUCUGAGGGCAUGAACAUCAUAUUCAUCGAAGUAUCAAAUUGGAACCUUAUUUACUUCUGUUCACAUGAGAUACAGUCAUCUUUUCUUUACUCUUUACAAUUCCACUUAUUAUAUAAGAUCCAAUUCACACGUCUUUGUAGGAGGAAGGUCUCUUUACUAUGUCGUUCGGCCUGUCUUUAAGAGAUGGAGGAGAUGAAAAGUGGCUGCCAAUUCUUAACUCAGUUGAAGAGACAAUAUCUCGUCCAUUGCGCGGUUGUGAAGCCCAACCAUUGUCCAACAAAAAGACAGUACAAGGUCUUGAAUCCCUGCAGGACAAUCCUGAUCUCAAAGGGGGUUACAGCAGACCAUUGUUAUGUAGGUUACGUUUUCAUAAGAUGACUUUUGUCCUUCCUUCUGCUACCGGUUUGCAGACGAAGAAGACAUAAGAGGAAUCUUUGGGUUCAUUUGCGUACAGCAAAAAGGCUACUUUUUGCUGCAUUGGUAAACUUCCUGAAAAGUUGGCCCACUUGACCAAAUUCCACCAAUUGUAUAUUGAUAGUGCUAGCUUUCCUGAUCCAUUCCCUUGGAUGUUCUCAAAACUUAAGAACCUGAACAUCCCGUACAUUCUCAAAACUUAAGCCACAGUUGUUAUGUUCAUUGUGUUUCCAUAUGCUCAUUGCUAUGUAUGUAUGUUGUGCUCUCAGGUGCAUAUGAGAUAAUUAUUUCACAGGGAAAAUACCUGAUUUUAUUGUGACCUUGACUAACCUGGACGAUCUCUAAGAUAAUAACGCUUUUCACUUCAGUCCUCGAUAUAAAUGUUAUGGUAUGAAUAAAUUUGCAUCGCCUUUAAUAUAUGCAGGUUGUUCAAACUGAUAGCAUACUUUCCUUAUGCUCAGGAGUACUUAUCAUCUUUCUAAUUUCUUACAGUAUGAACUUGUAGGAGGUUACAAGGAAACUAUUUUGAACGAUCGAUCCCACCAAGUUUGUCCAAGUUAACGAAGUUGACAAGCUUGUAGUGAAACGUUCGUCACCGAUGAGUGUCCUGUAUGUGGUCAAGGUGCCAUUUGUCUAAGUGAGCUGAGCUGAAUUAAUGUUAGAAUAGUGCAGCCGUGCAGGUGCAGUGGUAGGUAUCAAUCUCGCCCAUGCUGCCUGAAGGUAUGGGUCUGAAGUGGUACCGAAGUUUCUCCCUUUUGACUCAAAAACUUUCAGAGUUGCAACAUACCUGUAUGUGCAGACCCUGCAGGCGAGAAUGGAAGCUGAAAUAUUCGAUGGAGCUGAAACAAUAUAUUAACGCAGUCGGUUCGUCUCCCGGCGGCACGCAAACGCGCGCCCCAUCUCCUAGUUUGUAUUGCUGCUGUGCUAAGUCAACAAGGAAAAGAUGCAGAAGCCCUUAUUGAAAGUCUAUUAGUAUAUUGGAGAUAUGAUUACCAUAUUAGUUCGCUGUAUGUGCAUGUAAUGUUUGUUGAAGAUUUUACCAUGCUCUUAGGAAUCUGGGCUCGGUGAAUCACCAACGUGCAUAUAAAGA